GAAAUUAGCUCAGCUGGUAGAGCAACUGACUCUUAAUCAGUGGGUCAACGGUUCGAAUCCGUUAUUUCCC
rnacentral:tRNA from 1 species